AAUCUCUUCGUUAAUACUUGAAGAACCGCAGUUGUUGAUAAGAAAGAACAAAAUUAGAAGUGAUCAAUCGUUCAUGUUCUGCCUUAUUUCAAUUCAGCACGCGUCGCGAAAGGAGGAAGUUGUGUUGUGUUGUGUAAAUUGAGCUGAUUUGCCACCAGACAACCCGUUUCUUUAGUUUUUGUGAGUGUGUGCAAUGGUUUUCAGAUGAUGAAGAGUAAUUUUUGACGGCUAUGUGUACUAGAGUUCGAUAUUCCACUACCAUCCUGGACUUGGUUUGAUAGACCUAAUAGGCUCAUUAAACCUGCAAAUACAACAUCGCACAGCAUCAGAACAACAUUCGUCGCGCGUUGAAUAAUGUUUACAUUCGAAAUGGAUUAGGAAACCCACGUCGAACGGCAGAUUUGCUGACUCCUUCAUUGCCUCCAGUAUCCAAUCCAAAUAGACAUCGAUGUUUGUGUAAACUACGGGAUAGUAAAUACUGCAAGCUCUCGGCAAGAUCGCUGCAAAACCGCGCAGAAAAUGUCGUUGCUUCGAUUCUAGCCACUGCAAUGAGUGAAGCGAACCACCGAAAUCCGUAUAGACACAUUCAUCAUUCAGCGCCCGCUUGCUAAUUACACAAUGCUUCGAUCUGUCUACGGAAAAGUUCACCUUCAAACCUUGCCACCGUGAUUGACACUCCGGCGAGGUGAUGUAUCUAUCAUCCACGCUGCUAAUUCCAAAGUUAAAUGUGGAGGAAAAGCCAAUGACAGUCUGUACCAGGUUUGAUGUAUCGUAGCUGCGUGCUGAAUCGAUGGUCGGCAAGCAGAUGGGCCUCACAUUCGGAAGCGUUGUAUCCACAGAAGUGGACAGCAGAGCCAAUGCAAGAUCGUGUGCAUGAUUCGUUCGGUUGUACUGUGGAUGAAUGUGGAUCCUCUCAAUCGCAACACGCUGCGUAGGAAGAUCGCAUGCUUCAUACUUGUUGGUUUUGAAACAUUGCUUCUCGACAGUGUCGCUAUUAGCGUACCCAAACUCAACGGAGUAUCUGAAACGGAGGAAACACGUUGUACCUCAUGUUGUACAGUAUCCAGUCAAGAUAAGCUUCGAUAUCGAUGUACACGGGCGGUGGAUGCACAUUACAGGCCGACCCAUGUAGCUCAAACCCCCACAGAAAGUGUCGCUCCGUACCAUUGAAUGUCUUCGUUUCCUGGAGCGGGGCACCCGCUUCCAGCGCUCUACAGAUACUUGGCCACAUCCGUGUAAGCCGUGUUCUUCAGCGGAUCGCACAGUGCUGUACUUAAGCGAGCUGGAGUAAAUGACACCAAGCCCCUCACGAACCAUUUACCACCGAUCUCGAAGAACAUUCCGCCACCGCUAUCUCCAUUGCACGCGCUCACACCCUUCCGCCCUUUACCACAAAACAUGUCCGACGUCAGCUGAUCCGACAAAAUGUCUUGUUCGUUGUAUCCGAAUCCAACGAUGGUUCCGUUUUUACCCACGAUCAACUCCUGAUUGCUGUCCAUGGUCCACAAACAGACCGGUUGCACAUACUUGUUGAUGGUAAUAUUGGUGAUCAGCUUGAUGAGAGCAAUAUCGUUGACGAUACUGUUUUUGCUAAAUCCCGGAUGAACUAUUAUCUCUCGCACACGGUGCGUCUGUGUGUAUUCGCUUGAUUCGUUUAGAUAGAUUCGUCCCACGUCCACCGACACUCGCGAUAUCGAAAUCACACCGCUUUGGGUAUACACACAAUGAGAUGCUAGGAAAAAGAAAAUAAAAUAUUUUGGUUAAGAACCCAUAAAGAAAAGGUACUGCAGGCUUAGAAUAAAGGGAGAAACCCUAUUAAGCAUUUGCACGUUGAACGUAACUGACAGGUGUAAUUUGAACCUCAACUAACGUCAUUUUGGGGAAACAAGAGAAAGUUGAUUAAUGAUGUUAUGUGUAGUCGUGUGACUAUGAUAUUGAUAAAGUGCGCAGCACAGCAUCUACUCAUAAAGUGACUUUUUGCACUCGCGCUGGAAAUUAAACAUAUGGAAUUUACUUAACUACAUUUGUAAGUCCCUUUUUUAGGAUUUCGGGAUCAUGGAAUCGAAUAUGUUCUUUUGAUUGUAUAGGAUUAAGCCCCAAAAGAGCAAUUGCAAAUAAUAAACGGAUACAACGAGAUUGACAAUAGAUAUGCCUUAGCGAUUAGUUGUUUAAUCAAAUGUAUGUUUAAUUGUAAUAAAAAAGAACUACAUGACUUUG